GAUGAACGCUGGCGGCGUGCCUAAUACAUGCAAGUCGAGCGAACAGACGAGGAGCUUGCUCCUCUGACGUUAGCGGCGGACGGGUGAGUAACACGUGGAUAACCUACCUAUAAGACUGGGAUAACUUCGGGAAACCGGAGCUAAUACCGGAUAAUAUAUUGAACCGCAUGGUUCAAUAGUGAAAGACGGUUUUGCUGUCACUUAUAGAUGGAUCCGCGCCGCAUUAGCUAGUCGGUAAGGUAACGGCUUACCAAGGCAACGAUGCGUAGCCGACCUGAGAGGGUGAUCGGCCACACUGGAACUGAGACACGGUCCAGACUCCUACGGGAGGCAGCAGUAGGGAAUCUUCCGCAAUGGGCGAAAGCCUGACGGAGCAACGCCGCGUGAGUGAUGAAGGUCUUCGGAUCGUAAAACUCUGUUAUUAGGGAAGAAAAAAUGUGUAAGUAACUAGGCACGUCUUGACGGUACCUAAUCAGAAAGCCACGGCUAACUACG
rnacentral:rRNA from 1 species